rnacentral:tRNA from 1 species
CUAGACAGGAGGGCCUCG